GUCUCCGUGAGGAGGGGUCUGGAGGAAGCCGGAGGCGAAACCGGGUACCGAGGUACACGAAUCGCAUUGGAGGCUAGGCGCAUUGGGUAAGUCGGCUGACUACGGCGAAGCCCGUUCUCACUGCAGGUGCGCAGAGUAUAUGCGGCGGGCAUCCGGGGAAAGUUGCUGUC
rnacentral:ncRNA from 1 species